GACGAACGCUGGCGGCGUGCUUAACACAUGCAAGUCGAACGAUGAAGCCCAGCUUGCUGGGUGGAAGAGUGGCGAACGGGUGAGUAACACGUGAGUAACCUGCCCUGAACUCUGGGAUAAGCACUGGAAACGGUGUCUAAUACUGGAUACGACCUAUCACCGCAUGGUGUGUGGGUGGAAAGAUUUAUCGGUUCUGGAUGGACUCGCGGCCUAUCAGCUAGAUGGUGAGGUAAUGGCUCACCAUGGCGACGACGGGUAGCCGGCCUGAGAGGGUGACCGGCCACACUGGGACUGAGACACGGCCCAGACUCCUACGGGAGGCAGCAGUGGGGAAUAUUGCACAAUGGGCGCAAGCCUGAUGCAGCAACGCCGCGUGAGGGUUGACGGCCUUCGGGUUGUAUACCUCUUUUAGUAGGGAAGAAGCGAAAGUGACGGUACCUGCAGAAAAAGCACCGGCUAACUACGUG
rnacentral:rRNA from 1 species